CAUUCAGCUGGACCGGAAAGAAGAAGAAACAAGCAAAAGAUCAGCCCAACAAGAAAUCUCAAUCAGCUAAACUCUCCCUCAUCGGCGAAGUAAAGAAACGUUCUUCAGUUUAUCUAUCAAAACCCUAACAAGUAAGCAUGGCCCGUGCGCAGACACGCACAAAUCGAGAAAUGGUCCAAUUUUUUUUUUAAAACAUUUUUCCAUAGCUCCAUUUUCGUGGAUUUUGCUUUUUUAUUCGGUUGAAAUCUCUAACCCGAGGCAAAAUGGCUGUUACUGAAUGUUCAAUCAGUGGACAAGAACUUGACUGGAACUUUGGUAAUCCACCUCCGAUCUACACCUGCUAAAGAAUUGCCGUCUCUUGCACUAUUUCAGGCAAAAUGGCUGUUACUGAAUGUUCAACCAGUGGACAAGAACUUGACUGGAACUUUGGUAGCUAAAUGGAAAAAAGGCUUCCUAAGAAGCCAGCUUGGGCUUGUUGAGUUUGCCUACCAAAUGGGUUGCGAGUCAGGAAAAGCGGUCAUGGGGACUCAGGUCGGGGGUGCAACAUAACUAAUAGAGACAGAGUCAUUCCAUUUACGGCGAGACAAAAUGCACGGUCACAGGUGAUGCCAGUUAAUUAGAUUUGUCAUGGUUCAGAAAAUAGGGAGAAGAACCAUGAACACCAGGGUUAAAGGAGUCUGAACUAAAUAGAUCUAUAUUGAGAGAAUGCUGAUUUCCUAAUCUUCCCCUGUCACUGGUUUAUGGGAGUUUCCUAAUAGGAGCAUAAGAGUAUUUGGAACACUAAACAAGGAGUUAUUUAAGCUAUCAACCAAAGCAGCUGUAAGCAGAGUUAUGCAAAACGUUUAUUAACUUAAUCUCAGCCUGGAGGUUCAUGUUUGAGAUUCUUUAAAAUUUUUACCAGAAACUAAAGUCCCGACAGUUUGGUAAACGUGCUAGUUCAAAACUCAAGAAAGAUAAGUUUUUUAGAGCCCACCAUAAAAAUCAUACCAACCAUUAAAAGAGGUUCUUGAGUUUAUGGCAGAAGAAGUCGAGCCCAAUAAGAUGUAUAUCUUCUCAAUUUUUUUGGAGUAACACAGCUUUAUUAAAUUACGUAGGUGCCAUGAUUGACUUUCUUAUCUCAUUACACAUUUCGUAAUUGUAGCCCUCUUGUAAUUACUUACCGGCACGCUCUUGUUGCUGAGAUCUAUGUACUUACUCUUUUAAAAAUCAAAACGAAUUUGAGACCAAUACAUGCGUCCAUCUAUAGCAAUGGAUUUGUGGAAACUACUAGCAAUUCUAGAGUUUGAAGCUUUUGUUAGAUUUUUAUUUUGCCUCAAUAGUAUGUGCGCGCGCAUGUGUUUAAACUACUUCGCAAAGUCAUAAACCAACUCCGCACUGGAGAAUUACUCGUGGAUUUGUGAAAAUGAUCUUUGUUAAUCAGUGAAAUAAAUCUCUCUCUGUGGCAAUGUUUUAAUGUCCUUGCUGAAUCAAUUAAUUUAAGAAGACUGGGAUUGGCAUCUAACUUGUAAAAUGUGGAAUUUCCUUGAUAGGCCAUCACAUGUUAGACUCUACUGCAUAAUCUUUCAUGCAUCCACUUUCAUCAUACUUCAAUUCGAAUCGAAGCUUUCUUCUGUUUAUCUAGCUAGUUGUCCCAUCCCAACCAAAAACCCCAACCAGCUAGUUGUCCAUCAUUGGCUACCUAAACAAGCUUUCUUCUGUUUAUCUAGCUAGUUGCCCCAUCCCAACCAAAGUGUAUUAUGAAGAUUGUAUUUGAUGCCAGUUUCCAUUGUUUUGGAUUUUGUUUUGUGUAUGUUAAAAGCCUCUUGCUUUACAAAGAGUGAUUAGACUGUUGUGAAAUUUUAGUUCUAAAGUGCAUUAUGGAAAUUGUAUUUGAGUUUUUCUUUUUCUUUUGGCGAGCAAUUUUGUUGCACGGAAGAUUUAGGUCCAAAUGGCAAAGGUUUUCUCUUUUCUAAACUAUGUCAUGUCAAAUACUUCCUGACAUUUGCUGAUCAAUCUCUAUUUUUCUGAGUAAAUUCCAUUUAGUAGAAGAUGGGAAUGCCUCUUUUGUGCAAUUGACAUUUUUGUAAGGAGAUGUAUGUAUGUAUAUGGUUGUAGUUAAUUGAGUUUCAAAAUGUAGCAUUUAGGAAUUUGUAAGCAUUUGCAGAUUUUGGCUAUUGUCAAGAAAUCAAAAUUGCUUUCAUGUUGCUUGUUGGUUC